CUGCAGCUCGAGUGGUGGCCGCUAUUAUUGGGCCUAAAACGUCCGUAGCCGGUCUUGUAAAUGCCUGGGUAAAUCGUGCCGCUUAACGGUACGACUUCCGGGUAGACUGUAAGACUUGAGACCGGGAGAGGCUAGAGGUACUCCAGGGGUAGAGGUGAAAUUCUGUAAUCCUUGGGGGACCACCAGUGGCGAAGGCGUCUAGCUAGAACGGGUCUGACGGUGAGGGACGAAGCCCUGGGGCGCGAACCGGAUUAGAUACCCGAGUAGUCC
rnacentral:rRNA from 1 species